AGCCUCAAGGGAAGGAUUCUAACAGUCUAGCAAACAUUGAGAUGACUAAGAACUAACAACCAGAGUCCUGUUACUGCAGUGAGGUUAAGGCUAGUUCUGAGCUCCACGUUUCCUGGUGCUGGAAUCCUCCCUUACCUAGCUAGUGUCACUACUGGAAGAGAGAUGCUUCAUUCCUAUUCCUCUACCCACCCAACAGAUACUGUGAGGUCUUACCUUGGUGAUUCCAGAAUUCUAAAAUAAAUGGAAAGAGCCUCAACUAUCAAACUGACAAUGCAAUAGUUUUCUGAAAUGCUGAAAGAAAAGAAAGGCUUGGAUCAUGAAGAACUCAAAAGUAGGACUGAAAUUUUUUCUCCAAGAGGUCAAUUUCUUAGAUUUCUGCUAGGUUUAGAUGUGUGCAAGUUCACCCCCAUGUCAUCCUUUGAGGAAAGCAGGGAAGUUAUUAUUUUCCCAUCUUAGAGAGAUGAGGACCUGAAGCUCUGAGAUGGCGAGCGAUUUACUCAGUGUCCACACCAAGUAACUGGCAGAGUCAUGCCUUCGGACACUUUCCAUUUACUCGUCCAUUCUUUCCAUCUGUAAGUAGCGUACGUAACAUACUCUGUUUUGGGCCGUAUACAACACAUUGUGUGUAUAAAAAUGAACAAGGUGAGGAAUGUGGACAGUAAAUCUAAUUAGAUAAGUAAAUACAUAAUUAUAUUGGGUGACACAUGGAAUAAAUGACACAGUAACACGUAAAGACCUUUCCA
rnacentral:lncRNA from 12 species